ACUCAAAUGAAUUGACGGGGGCCCGCACAAGCGGUGGAGCAUGUGGUUCAAUUCGACGCAACGCGAAGAACCUUACCUGGGUUUGAACUGCAGGUGACUGCUCUGGAAACAGAGUUUUUCUUCGGAACGCCUGCAGAGGUGCUGCAUGGCUGUCGUCAGCUCGUGUCGUGAGAUGUUGGGUUAAGUCCCGCAACGAGCGCAACCCUUGCCCUUAGUUGCCAGCGGAUAAUGCCGGGCACUCUAAGGGGACUGCCCCGGAAAACGGGGAGGAAGGUGGGGAUGACGUCAAGUCAUCAUGGCCUUUAUGCCCAGGGCUACACACGUGCUACAAUGGGCGGUACAAAGGGCUGCGAACCCGCGAGGGGGAGCCAAUCCCAUAAAACCGUCCUCAGUUCGGAUUGCAGUCUGCAACUCGACUGCAUGAAGGUGGAAUCGCUAGUAAUCGCGGAUCAGCACGCCGCGGUGAAUACGUUCCCGGGCCUUGUACACACCGCCCGU
rnacentral:rRNA from 1 species